rnacentral:pre_miRNA from 1 species
AAUAGAAGAAUGACAAAUUAGAUUUUUUCUCUUGAUUUUUAGCUUUUUCCUCUUGAAAAAAAUCAAAUCUAACUAAAAAUACUAAAAAUCAAGAAAAAAUAUCUUAUUUAUCAUUCUCUUAUU